UGAGGGGUUAAGGCUCCCAGUAGACGACUGGGUUGAUAGGCCAGAUAUGGAAGCCCGGUAACGGGUGGAGUUGACUGGUACUAAUAGGCCGAGGGCUUGUCCUCAGUUG
rnacentral:rRNA from 1 species